UGGACAUAUUAUUGUAUUUGACUGUAUUCACGGCGUGAAAUAAGAGAUUACACUGUUUUUAAAACUGAAUCAAUUAACAUAAUAGACUCCU
rnacentral:pre_miRNA from 1 species